ACAAGGAUGUUACAAGGUUGUCAACAGAAGGUUGUAACAAUCUUGUUAUAUCAAGUAUGUAACGGGCUUGUCAGAACAACCUUGCAACAAGUCUGAUAAUUUCGACAAGGUUGUUACAAGUUGUCAACAAGUUGUUCCAAACCUGUUGACAACUUGUGACAAGCAGUGCGAAUACAUCUUGUUCACGGCUUGUUAGCAGACUUGUUACAAGAUGUGAGAUUUUUAUGUGUGUACAACUUGCAAGGUUGUUCAAACAAGUCCGAUACAGUCAUGAAAUGACAAUAAUGUUACAACCUUGUGUCGUCAACCUUGUAACAUUCUUGU